GGUUUUUAGAGGGAUUUUAGUCCCGUUGAACACUCAAAAAGUUGACAUUUUUAAAUUAUUUAUUUAUUUAUUUCAGCUUCCGGUUAACUUCUGAUUGUUUGUAAAAAUAGUUUCGAUUUUUUAAAGUGUAUUGUGUUCGUGAGAAAUGAGAUUUGUGGACUUUGGAAUGUUUUUUUUUAUCGUGUUUGUUCGAACACUUUUUCAUAUAGUUAUUUAAAUAUAGCUUUAUUAUUACUGAAGCUUGGAAUAUUUUUAUAUGUCAAGAAUUAAUCUAAAAUUAUGCCCUUUCAUAAUAUGUAAAGCAUUCCGGCCCAGCUCCAUUUUUGCGAGGGGUCAUUUUCAAAAUCAUUCGCGUCACGUAAAUAUGGCGUGACGUCAUCAGCCGCCUUCAUCUGGGGACCGAGACCCUGGACCUUCCCACCUCCCAGUGCCCUUCUAUCAGUGUUUAGUGUAAUUUCCUAUAUUUUCCAGCUGUUUUCAUGCAUAGAGAAGAAUAGAAAGAGGAGGAAAGAAGGAGAAAUGAAGAAGGAGGAAAAAGAAGAAGGAAGGGAAGGAGGAAGACGAGAAGGAAAAGAGGAAAUAUUAAGAAGACAAUAUUUUCACUGAAUUUCCAGCGUUUUAAAGGUGGGGACCAGAUACACCAGGGAACAGUACAGCAAGACAGUCGCACAGUCGUUCCUGGUGCGGCUGAUGCGUUUGAGCAUGUCCAGCGAUGCGGAGGUGCGGCUGACAGUGCAACACAUCCUGCACACACUGCUCCACCGGCACCACAAUGCUCACUACCUGGCCAAACCUACGUCAGUGUCUGGGGGCCUUCAUUGGUUGUUUAUUGUGUGUGUGUGUGUGUGUGUGUGUGUGUGUUUUCCUUUUAUGUGUGUUGUGUGAGUGUCUGUUUUCUUCUCUUCUUCUUCUAAAUUCUUUGUUUGUUCCUUCUCUUUCUUCUCACUGUUUUCUGUAUUGUCUGUGUGUCUGUUUUCUUCUCUUUCUUAUUUCAUGUAUUCUUACAGAUUCAUUUGUUUAUUUGUUGCAAUGUGUUUUUAAUGAAUAGACAGGAGGUCCUACCCUUCAGUUUUACCAACAAGGGACAAAGAACAAAACAAAAUUAAGAAGCAAUAAAAAAAAAAGAAAGUUUAGAGUGCCGUUAGAAAAGUAGAAAAACAAGGCAAGAUUCUCGCGGGCACCGGGCAGAGAGAGAGAGAGAGAAUUACUGUACACAAACAAUUCUCUGCUCUCACUUCUCUGCUCUCACUCCUAAGACAAGCAGGCACGCCCACACACUCCCUGCACGCCCACAGGCAGCAGACGAGCAGUAAGGAGAGGCUGAGAGAAAGAGAGGAAGGACCGCGUACUUUGCUGUGCUCCCAGCCCAAGGCAAGCAGGCACGUGCCCACACUGCCACACUCCCUGCACGCCCACAGGGCCACAGGCAGCAGACGAGCCGCAAGGUGAGGCUGAGAGGGAAGAAGGGAGAAGUGGUCAAUUGGUUUGUUGUUUGUUUGUUUGUUUGUUUGUUUGUUUGUUUGUUUUGAAAGUGAUGAAUAUUUGUAUUUGGUGGUGGUUUGUGUAUCAGAUGAGCAAAGGCAAGUGUUGUGUUUGUUAGUAGGCUGAGCGUUGCACCUGUUAUCUUGUUAAUACGUUUUUCUGGUGAUAAAUUCUUUGACAAAAUCACUCCCAGAUCUUUUCCUCUUGU